rnacentral:rRNA from 1 species
UUAUAUUCCUUUCUCCAUCUUGUUAGCUGGGAGAUCUGGACGGAGCGAAAUGCACGCAUGUUCAGGAUGAAGGCGGCACCAAUGGCGGUGAUCGUGCCGACUAUCAAAGAGGAGGCGUCUAUCUGGGCCCUUGCAAGAGCAAGACAUUUGUGUAAUUUGAUGCCGCAAGAGUAG